rnacentral:rRNA from 1 species
CAUGCAAGUCGAGCGAACAGAUGAAGUGCUUGCACUUCGUGACGUUAGCGGCGAACGGUGAGUAACACGUAAGGAAUCUACCUAUAAGCGGGGGAUAACAUUCGGAAACGGGUGCUAAUACCGCAUAAUAUCUUCUUCCGCAUGGAAGAAGAUUGAAAGACGGCUCUGCUGUCACUUAUAGAUGACCUUGCGGUGCAUUAGUUAGUUGGUGGGUAAUGGCCUACCAAGACGAUGAUGCAUAGCCGACCUGAGAGGGUGAUCGGCCACAUUGGGACUGAGACACGGCCCAAACUCCUACGGGAGGCAGCAGUAGGGAAUCUUCCGCAAUGGGCGAAAGCCUGACGGAGCAAUGCCGCGUGAGUGAAGAAGGCCUUCGGGUCGUAAAACUCUGUUACAAGAGAAGAACAAAUUGUAGAGUAACUGCUACAGUCUUGACGGUAUCUUAUCAGAAAGCCACGGCUAACUACGUG